rnacentral:rRNA from 1 species
GUUGAUGGAAUGAGCGGCGGACGGGUGAGUAACACGUAAAGAACCUGCCCUCAGGUCUGGGAUAACCACGAGAAAUCGGGGCUAAUACCGGAUGGGUCAUCGGACCGCAUGGUCCGAGGAUGAAAGGCGCUUCGGCGUCGCCUGGGGAUGGCUUUGCGGUGCAUUAGCUAGUUGGUGGGGUAAUGGCCCACCAAGGCGACGAUGCAUAGCCGACCUGAGAGGGUGAUCGGCCACACUGGGACUGAGACACGGCCCAGACUCCUACGGGAGGCAGCAGUAGGGAAUCUUCCACAAUGGACGAAAGUCUGAUGGAGCAACGCCGCGUGAACGAUGAAGGCCUUCGGGUCGUAAAGUUCUGUUGUAAGGGAAGAACAAGUGCCGCAGGCAAUGGCGGCACCUUGACGGUACCUUGCGAGAAAGCCACGGCUAACUACGUGCCAGCAGCCGCGGUAAUACGUAGGUGGCAAGCGUUGUCCGGAAUUAUUGGGCGUAAAGCGCGCGCAGGCGGCCUCUUAAGUCUGAUGUGAAAGCCCCCGGCUCAACCGGGGAGGGCCAUUGGAAACUGGGAGGCUUGAGUAUAGGAGAGAAGAGUGGAAUUCCACGUGUAGCGGUGAAAUGCGUAGAGAUGUGGAGGAACACCAGUGGCGAAGGCGACUCUUUGGCCUAUAACUGACGCUGAGGCGCGAAAGCG